GUAGUACUCCCUCCGUCCCAUGUUAAGUGCCGAAAUAUUACAUGUAUGUAGACGUUUUCUAGGUAUAAAUACAUCCAUAUUUGGAUAAAUUUAAGUCACUUAAUAUGGGACGGAGGGAGUACAAG
rfam:Brachypodium distachyon strain Bd21 chromosome 2, whole genome shotgun sequence.